rnacentral:tRNA from 1 species
GGCUCGGUAGCUUAGUUGGAAAAGCACCCGUCUAGCAUACAAGAAUCGUGGGUUUGAAUCCUUCCUGAGCAC